rnacentral:tRNA from 1 species
GCGGGCGUAGCUCAGUGGUAGAGCAUCUGCUUCCCAAGCAGAGGGUCGUGAGUUCGAAUCUCAUCGCCCGCU